rnacentral:tRNA from 1 species
GAGGGGGUAGCUCAGUGGGAGAGCACUACGCUGAAGACGUAGGGGUCGCGUGUUCGAUUCACGCUCCCCUCA